UCACUUCACAUCCGUCUCUACAGCAACAAAAUCAGUAGUAGCUCCACUCCCAUUACUGCUGACAAAUACAGUGCCACCUUUUUCAGUUAUAUAGUACUCCUAUGUGAAAAUUUUCAUCUGGGGUUUCUUUAUUUUCUUGUGUUAAAGAAUGGAUCUUUUUGGUUGAGUUAGUGAAAAUGGAGUAAGACACCUUACAAUCUACUGAGGAAAAAUGGCGGAAUCCAUACGAAGGAAAAGACAAAAUGCGGCAAAGGAGGAUAAGAAGAGGGAAAAAGCAGCACCUGAGGAUUGGGAAAUGGAGUAUUCGUAUGAGGAAAAGAUGCUAAAAGCAUAUCUUGAUCCUGACAGACAAGGAUAUGUGAAUUGGGAGAAGAAAAAUCGAUCAUGGGAAUUACAAAAUGGCUUUACUACCCACAGUUGAGGAUUGGGAAAUGGAGUACUGAUUCGAGGAGAAGAGGCUAAAAUCACAUCUCGACAAAGAUGGAGGAUAUUACAGGUGGGAAAAACAAAAUUGGCUUUGGGAAAGAGAGAAUCAUCGGGUACCGUUUGAAUAAGGGGAGGAGGAGGAGAGGAAGCAAAAAGAAGUUCGUGUUUUACUGUCAUUGCUGUCACUAAAGGAUCCGAAGAAAGAAAAGGAGGCAUUCCAUAAGAGGUUACUUGAACUUCAUACGAAACGUGUGCCCUCAAGGGAGGAGGAGCUGCAAAAACGGGAGGGGAGACGAGAAGAACUUGCAACACAAGGAAGAUGUCUUGAUGGGAACUAUCUAACCCCAUAUUGCAAGUGCGACAGACAAUGCUAUCGAUUUGAUACAACUUUGAAGGAUCAUCCCCAAGAAUGUCUCCCAAUUUGGCUCGCAUAUUGUCGCCAGUAUCGCCAAUCACAUUGUUUUGACAUUGAUGACUGCAUUGAUGGAGUAUGUCCGUUAGGACCAUCUCACGGUUUCGGGGGCAUGAGUGAGAUUAUGACGGAACUGGCUAGCCGUGCUAUCAAGGAAUAUAACGAGAAAGAGUGCAAUGUAUAUAUGAACCUUUAUUUGCUUUCUCUAAUUAGUCUCCGAUUAUCCUUUUCCUUUAUUUUCAGCUAAUUGUGACUCUCGUUGAAGUGUUUUAAAUUACAAUGCCACUGGAAAGGAUUAAUGGAUAUCUCCUUCUUUUAUUUUGCUCGA